UCCGGUCAUAUCACAUUGAAACACCGACUCUCGUACAAUCACCAAAGUUAAGCAAAGAUAAGCUUGGUCAGUACUUAUAUGGGUGACCGUUUGGGAGUGUGUGU